UGAACGCUGGCGGCGUGCCUAAUACAUGCAAGUCGAGCGAACGGGCGAGAAGCUUGCUUUUCUGAUGUUAGCGGCGGACGGGUGAGUAACACGUGGAUAACCUACCUAUAAGACUGGGAUAACUUCGGGAAACCGGAGCUAAUACCGGAUAAUAUUUUGAACCGCAUGGUUCAAAAGUGAAAGACGGUCUUGCUGUCACUUAUAGAUGGAUCCGCGCUGCAUUAGCUAGUUGGUAAGGUAACGGCUUACCAAGGCAACGAUGCAUAGCCGACCUGAGAGGGUGAUCGGCCACACUGGAACUGAGACACGGUCCAGACUCCUACGGGAGGCAGCGGUAGGGAAUCUUCCGCAAUGGGCGAAAGCCUGACGGAGCAACGCCGCGUGAGUGAUGAAGGUCUUCGGAUCGUAAAACUCUGUUAUUAGGGAAGAACAUAUGUGUAAGUAACUGUGCACAUCUUGACGAUACCUAAUCAGAAAGCCACGGCUAACUACGUG
rnacentral:rRNA from 1 species